AACGAACGCUGGCGGCAGGCUUAACACAUGCAAGUCGAACGCCCCGCAAGGGGAGUGGCAGACGGGUGAGUAACGCGUGGGAACAUACCCUUUUCUACGGAAUAGCUCUGGGAAACUGGAAUUAAUACCGUAUACGCCCUACGGGGGAAAGAUUUAUCGGGGAAGGAUUGGCCCGCGUUGGAUUAGCUAGUUGGUGGGGUAAAGGCCUACCAAGGCGACGAUCCAUAGCUGGUCUGAGAGGAUGAUCAGCCACAUUGGGACUGAGACACGGCCCAAACUCCUACGGGAGGCAGCAGUGGGGAAUAGUGGACAAUGGGCGCAAGCCUGAUCCAGCCAUGCCGCGUGAGUGAUGAAGGCCUUAGGGUUGUAAAGCUCUUUCACCGAUGAAGAUAAUGACGGUAGUCGGAGAAGAAGCCCCGGCUAACUUCGUG
rnacentral:rRNA from 1 species